GGAGCAGUCCAGGUAGUCGCCCAUGGAACCGAUGUUGCAUGGGAGGAAAGUCCGAGCUCCACAGGGCAAGGCGCUCCGUAACGCGGAGUCCCGGAAACGGGAAGGAAAGUGCCACAGAAAGGGAAACCACCCCGUCACAGGGGAAAGGGUGAAAAGGUGAGGUAAGAGCUCACCAGUGCCCCGGGCGACCGGGCAGCUUGGUAAACCCCGCCUGGAGCAAGGCCAAAUAGGUUCUGUGUUGAGGGGUGCCCCCUCGAAUCCCGGCUGCGGCCGGGAGACAGAACGGGUUAGGCCGCACGAUCCCGGCCGCAAGGCCGGGGCUGAGAUGAAUGACUACAAUUCCGAUCUUCGGAAUUACAGAACUCGGCUUACGGACUGCUUCGGCA
rnacentral:RNase_P_RNA from 1 species